GUGCCAUUCCUCCACCACCAUCACCUCAUGUUUCAGCAUGAUAAUGCACAGCCCCAUGUUGCAAGGAUCUGUACACAAUUCCUGGAAGCAAAAAAUGUCCCAGUUCUUCCUAGGCCUGCAUACUCACCAGACAUGACACCUAUUGAGCACGUUUGGGAUGCUCUGGAUCGACGUGUGCGACAGCUUGUUCAAGUUCCCGCCAAUAUCGAGCAACUUCGCACAGCCAGUGAAGAGGAGUGGGAAAACAUUCCACAGGACACAAUCAACAGCCUGAUCAACUCUAUGCGAAGGAGAUGUGUUGCGCUGCAUGAGGCAAAUGAUGGUCACACCAGAUACUGACUGGUUUUCUGAUCCACGCCCAUACCCUUUUUUAAAAGGUAAUACCAACAGAUGCAUAUGUGAAAUCCAUAGAUUAGGGCCUAAUUUAUGUAUUUGAAUUGACUACAUUUCCUUAUAUGAAAUGUAACUCAGUAAAAUCUUUGAAACUGUUGCAUGUUGCGUUUUAUAUUUUUGUUCAGUGUAGAUAAGUCAGUGAAAUGCGUUGUCAUCAUUACUCGGAUCAGCAUAGUCUUCUAGGGCACACUACUGGCAAGAAGUCAACCGAUUAAAUCGGAAUGGCCGAUUAAUUAGGGCCAAUUUCAAAUUUUCAUAACAAUCGGUAAUAAUUUUUGGACACCGAUCAUGGCCGAUUACAUUGCACUCCACGAGAAGACUGCGUGGCAGGCUGACUAUCUGUUAUGCGAGUGCAGCAAGGAGCCAAGGUAAGGUGCUAGCUAGCCUUAAACUUAACUUAUAAAAAACUAUCAAUGUUAACAUAAUCACUAGUUAACUACACAUGGUUGAUGAUAUUACUGAAAGAAGAAACGUUUUGUUUUCAAAAUUAUAGGUCCCAUUUUUGACCAUAUUAAUGCCCUAAGGCUCGUAUUUCUGUGUGUUAUUAUAUUAUAAUUAAGUCUAUGAUUCGAUAGAGCAGUCUGACAGAGCGGUGGUAGGCAAGAGCAGCAGGCUCGUAAGCAUUCAUUCAAACAGCACUUUCCUGCAUUUGCCAGCAGCUCUUCGCUGUGCUUCAAGCAUUGCGCUGUUUAUGACUUCAAGCCUGUGAUUGUUGUGACUUUGCCAUUGUGGUUGUUUGUAGGCUUGUGUGGUCUUAAGUGAGUCUAUGAUCAUAUGCUAUCCAUUUGUAUUUAUUGUAUGCUGCUCUUUCUAUGCCAUUUUAAUAUUUGAGAAAUUAACCAAUGAUAUUAGGCCACUCUUGGCCAUGAUUACAGACACCUGUGUGUCUUGACACUAUAUAUAAACGAGUCAUCCUGCAGUGUCUGUGAUUGUACCCUGAUGAAGACAGCUUGCCUGUCGAAACGUUGGUAAAUUAAAUAUUUUUGCAUCUGAGCUCCUAGAGUGUGCGGCUCUCCUUUAUUUUUAAGUUUUCUACUCCGCUAGCCAGCACCUCGCCUAAAUAGGUGUGCGUUUCUUUUUCUUCUAGACUAUGACUUCAAGCCUAUCAACUCCCGAGAUUAGGCUGGCAAUACUAAAGAAACCUAUUAGAACAUCCAAUAGUCAAAGGUAUAUGAAAUACAAAUGGUAUAGAGAGAAAUAGUUCUAUAAUAACUACAACCUAAAACUUCUUACCUGGGAAUAUUGAAGACUCAUGUUAAAAGGAUUCACCAGCGUUCACAUGUUCUGAGCAAGGAACUUAAACGUUAGCUUUUUUACAUUGCACAUAUUGCACUUUAACUUUCUUCUCCAACACUUUGUGUUUGCACUAUUUAAACCAAAUUGAACAUGUUUCAUUAUUUAUUUGAGACUAAAUUGAUUUUAUUGAUGUAUUAUAUUAAGUUAAAAUAAGUGUUCAUUCAGUGUUGUAUAUAAAAAAAAUAAAGAAAACAUUUAAAAAAUAAUUGCCCGAUUUAAUCGGUAUCAGCUUUUUUUGGUCCUCCAAUCAGUAUCGGUACUUAAAUCAUAAUCGGUCGACCUCUACUACUGGCUGUGUGGUUUAUAGAGUGAUGGGGAUAUUAAGCCUGAUUUUAAUGUUUUUUAAUUCAAAUGACUUAUAUGGAGCUGCAGAGACCUUUAGGAAGUGCUAACUGCAGCUAUAGAUACCAUUGCUUCCUGACAAUACCUUAUUCAACUUCAGUCACUGUAUCGGCAGUUGUAAAACGCGAUUUUAAACAAUACAACAUUUUGCAUUGCUUUACUUUUCACUGUAAAGCGAUUUACAGUUCCAAUAUUUUCUUCGUAAGCGUUUUGCAAAUAUCACGCUUAGAUUAAUAGCAUUCCUCAUGACCUGAGAUAGCUUUUCACAGAAUACGUAGCCAGUGCUUUGUCUUGAUGUGGGAAUGUUCCACGUUUCACAGGGCAAGUCAAUCAUUUUGGAAUUCCAGUCUCUGCCCAUGCUGGGUUCUACGACACGUCUCCCAAAGACCACCUCUGCGGCAAGGGGAAAUAUGACGUUCUAGAUUACACUUGCUGUGAAAAAGUACUACAUGAAGGGGUGGGGCUGUCCUGCUGUGGAAACAGGGCCUUCAACCUCACCGGGGCUUCCUGUUGUGAAGGUCAGCUGACUCAUAAUGUGAGCCAGCUGGUGUCAGAUUGCUGUGGGUGUCGGGCCUAUGACCCACUCAACCAGCUCUGCUGUGACUCUCAGAUCCUAACCAGGACCCAACCCCAUUCCAAGUGUUGUGGGAAAGACCUUUAUGAUGAACACCAGCUUUGCUGUGGAAAUGUCCAAGGAAGGAAGGUCCUGACCAAAAGGUCUGGUCACCACCGGUGCUGUGGAGACCAGCAGUUUGACCAGCGAAGCCACUGCUGCUGCUUCGAUUCUGAACUACUAACCCCAGAGCCUCUCAAUGCAAGCUGCUGUGCAUCACCAGGGUUUAAUGUUUUUCAGCACAGAGCAAUUGCUCAGAAUUCUCCAAACUGGUAAGGUUGCCUUUGGCCUUCAACCAUAUACUGGACCUCAUGUCUCACUUUCUUUAUUCACGUUAAUGAAAUGGGUAACAGUCAGGUUUUAAAAUAAUAAUAAUACAUUACAUUGAUUGAUUUGUUUUAGAUAGGGAAAUCAUAUGGUUGUUAUCGUAAUCUCACAAGUUUGGGUGGAAGUAACAUAUUUAUCAUGAUAAACAUAUGUUUUCAGCUGUCACCAAUGCAAGUUUAUACAUUCAGGCGUCAUGUUGAAUUAUUAAU